CAGCGCCACGAGUGGUAACCGCGAUUAUUGGGCCUAAAGCGUCCGUAGCCGGGUUGAUAAAUCCUUUGUGAAAUUGUGCGGCUUAACCGAACAACGUGCAAGGGACACUGUUAACCUCGAGACCGGGAGGAGUCAGAAGUAUUCCUGAGAGAGCGGUAAAAUGUUAUAAUCUCAGGAGGACUACCUGUGGCGAAGGCGUCUGACCAGAACGGAUCUGACGGUGAGGGACGAAAGCCAGGGGAGCGAACCGGAUUAGAUACCCGAGUAGUCC
rnacentral:rRNA from 1 species